rnacentral:rRNA from 1 species
AUACGGAGGGUGCAAGCGUUGUUCGGAAUUAUUGGGCGUAAAGCGCGUGUAGGCGGUCUGUUAAGUCUGAUGUGAAAGCCCCGGGCUCAACCCGGGAAGUGCAUUGGAUACUGGCAGACUUGAGUACGGGAGAGGGAAGUGGAAUUCCGAGUGUAGGGGUGAAAUCCGUAGAUAUUCGGAGGAACACCGGUGGCGAAGGCGGCUUCCUGGACCGAUACUGACGCUGAGACGACGAAAGCGUGGGGAGC